GAAGCCUUCACGAAAAAGACAAUAAAUUCUUCAACCCAGACCCACUACGCACGCAGAGCAGGGAAGGGUCUGCAUGCUUUGGGGCUAUAGGGUUUGAUUUUCCACACAUCAAUUUGGCACCCCAGAUGGGACCCGCUCUGUUUGGCUGUGGGAUCAGUUGAGAGAGGGGACGCCUUUGGCGCACCCAAGAUUUCUCAGAAGGACUUCUUUUUGUCAUCUGAUCACUGCGGGAGCAGACAAGGACCAUCAGCGGACCAAGUUUACAAGACACUUACUUCCAAGGGGAGCAGCUGAGAAGUAAGAAGAUGUUAAGAGUGGUGGUCAGGAAAGGGAUCAGAGGAGAAAACUGAGCUUGCCUGGUAGAAGAAAUAACGAAGAUAUUUGUGCAGAUAUGUGUCACUUUCAUUAUGAUGAUCAUAUCUAAGCCUCUAUUUUUUUUUCUGAUUUGUUUGCUUCACUUUUCAGUUGUUUCUGAGGGGAAAGGGCAAAACUUUGUCCUUUCACAUGUUUGUAUAAAGUUUGGUUAACUUUGAAAGACAGUGAAGCACCAGAGCAGAGUAAAAUAUCCUUCUCAUUUUUUUGACACUGAACAAGCUCAGACUAUAGGAAAAGCAUAUUUAAAUCUUCAAAUAUAGGGACUGUCUGUGUGAAUUUGGGGUUGUUCUAUGAACGCUCAAAACCUCAGGAGAAUAGGCUGCUGGAUGUGAAGUUCCAGUAUUUCUGAUAUGAAUAUAUACAUCACUGAAGCCUUUUUGCUACACAGAGUCACGGCUGUACACGUUAAAAUAUAGAUGCACAGCUUACCUGUAAAUAUGGUGUAUUUGGGAAGCUCUUAGCACUUAGUGAAAUACUGGAGCUUGGUAUAUGAUUACAUAUAAUAUUGAACAACAUAAAAGAAAAGAAAAUCUAUAUGUCUAUAGCUGUGAUUACUCCUUGUACUCGAAACCCAGUUGGGAGAUGUGGGUUUCCAUGGAACACAGCAGUUUAUUGGUAAGGCAGAAUAUCCUACUUCGAGUUAGAAUUGCUAGUGAUCCACAGCCUGCUUUUGUUUCCAGAGGGACUUGAAGAGCUGUUUUAAGCUUUCAGUUUCUACUCAUCUACAAGUGCUGUUUACAAGCUUCUUACUGAUGAUUUAUCAAUAUGGGAAUUCACAUCCUGACUUGUCCAAAGUAAUCUAUCUUCAAACAGGCCAGAACUUUCCAUCUGUCAAAGGAAUAGGACACGUGAAAAAAAAAAAAAAAAAAAAAAAAAAAGGAAAAGCAGGUUGUUUUUGUUCUACUGUGGGGCUUGUUAGUUAAGCGUAAGGAAAGUUUUCCUGAUUCUUAAGGAUUGUAUAUUAUUUAUAUAAUUGUUGGAGGUGUGCUCAAAGCCUUAAUUAAACAUCCUUUAUGCUGGCUGUCGAAACACAGAUAACCUAGUUAUUUACCUGAUUCACAGGGAAGAAUUACAAACAAUUUAGACCUUCUGUGUAAAUCAGCAAAAUUUAUACUAUAUAUUUAACAUCUCCUCUUCUCAAGUGCCUAAUCAACACGAAUCAAAUGCAUUUUCAAAACAUGAUUCACCUAUCCUGUCCAUAGACAAUGUAAAAUGGACCUAUUAUUUCAUGUACUAAAUUGGAAGAGCAAUUUUAGCAUGCGGUGUGAAGAUUUAAUUUUGCAUCUCUCAUUAAAGCUAAUGGAGACUGUGUUGUUAAAUCACAUGGUGCAUAACAUUCCAUAUUCCCUUAAGUGUCCUUAUGUUGCUGAACUGGGAAGAGGCUGAAGAAGUAUGCACAUGUAUUUCGGUGAGCAUCUAAGAGUUUAAUUUAAUUUUCAGGUCUGAGACCAACACCCUUGAAUAACUGGUCUCAUAUGUGUAAUCAAAUUAAACCAGAUGAACUCAAACAUUUUAAGUGAAUAAGUGAAAUAGCCAAAAUUAGUUUAAAUUAACAAGGUGUUGUAUCUGUGUGGGACUUGGCCCAAGGAAAAAUGUUCCUGUAACAACUUGCUGAAGUAGUCCCUUCACAUGCACUGAUAAAAUCUAGCAAGUGAUUUUUAAAAGCUUGGAGCAGACAAAUUAUUUGGCUUCAGCAUUGUUCAAGUUUGGCUUCUUUUUUCCUGCCCUUUCCAACAUUUUUCCUUUUUUUUUUCUUGAAUUAUU